CUUUAGGCUAUAAGCUUUAAGCUGUAGGCCUUUUUUAAAUUCUGUUAGAAGCUUAAAGCCUAUUGCUUAAAGCUUACAGCGGA
rnacentral:sRNA from 1 species